rnacentral:tRNA from 1 species
GCCAGAGUAGCUCAGUGGUAGAGCAGAGGACUCAUAAGCCUUUGGUCGGGUGUUCAAAUCACCCCUCUGGCACCA